rnacentral:rRNA from 1 species
AGAGUUUGAUCCUGGCUCAGGAUGAACGCUGGCGGCGUGCCUAAUACAUGCAAGUCGAGCGAACCACUUCGGUGGGAAGCGGCGAACGGGUGAGUAACACGUAGGUGAUCUGCCCAUCAGACGGGGACAACGAUUGGAAACGAUCGCUAAUACCGGAUAGGACGAAAGUUUAAAGAUGCUCCUGGCAUCACUGAUGGAUGAGCCUGCGGCGCAUUAGCUAGUUGGUGGGGUAAAGGCCUACCAAGGCGACGAUGCGUAGCCGACCUGAGAGGGUGAACGGCCACACUGGGACUGAGACACGGCCCAGACUCCUACGGGAGGCAGCAGUAGGGAAUCUUCGGCAAUGGGCGAAAGCCUGACCGAGCAACGCCGCGUGAAUGAAGAAGGCCUUCGGGUUGUAAAAUUCUGUUAUAAGGGAAGAAAGGUGAUAGGAGGAAAUGACUAUCAAUUGGCGGUACCUUAUGAGAAAGCCACGGCUAACUACGUG